rnacentral:rRNA from 1 species
AUGACAGGGAACUGUCUAGGGCUGGAUUCGAUGGGUCGGGCCGUCGGGGUGGCUAGUGCCCUUGGAUGUGAUGUGAAUGUGCACGCACACACAGAGGAAAUAGAUAUGCUACUGAAGCUCGUCCACGGAGGAACAUAUGCACGGAGCAACCUGGUCGGGGACGGUCGACCCUUCGGGGAAUCAUGCAUGCUGCAGCGACCCAGGCCGGGAGUGCCGCUCGAAUUCUCAUCGCCACCCCGCUUAAACAUUGUGCUUCUCAGUCGCAUACGACUAUAG